CCUACGGGAGGCUGCAGUGAGGAAUAUUGGUCAAUGGACGAGAGUCUGAACCAGCAAAGUAGCGUGAAGGAUGACUGCCCUAUGGGUUGUAAACUUCUUUUAUAUGGGAAUAAAAUGUUCCACGUGUGGGAUUUUGUAUGUACCAUAUGAAUACGGAUCGGCUAACUCAGUGCCAGCAGCCGCGGUAAUACGGAGGAUCCGAGCGUUAUCCGGAUUUAUUGGGUUUAAAGGGAGCGUAGGUGGAUUGUUAAGUCAGUUGUGAAAGUUUGCGGCUCAACCGUAAAAUUGCAGUUGAAACUGGCAGUCUUGAGUACAGUAGAGGUGGGCGGAAUUCGUGGUGUAGCGGUGAAAUGCUUAGAUAUCACGAAGAACUCCGAUUGCGAAGGCAGUUCACUGGACUGCAACUGACACUGAGGCUCGAAAGUGUGGGUAUCAAACAGGAUUAGAUACCCGAGUAGUC
rnacentral:rRNA from 1 species